UCUCACUCUAGCCCCGACUAGCCCAG
rnacentral:misc_RNA from 1 species